UGUUCAGAGUUUACAAGGCGGGGAGGGAGGUGGGGUUUCUCUGGGUGCCGGCUCAUGUGGGUGUGAAAGGGAACGAGGAGGCGGAUGAGGAGGCAAAGAAGGCGGUGAAGGAGGAAACAGUGCAAAUUCAUUUUCAAUAUGGGGCACCCGAGUACAUGGAAAAAAUAAACAGGGCUCUAAAAGAAAGGUGGCAAAAAUCUGGGGAGAAGGAAAGGAAGGGAAGGGCGUACUUUACAAUACAGGGAAAUGUAAAUAAAGAUAGGUGCACUUUUAGGUGCAUAAGAAAAGAUGAUGUAGCAAUCACAAGACUGAGGCUUGGACACUGUGGGCUGAGGAGUGGGCUGGCUCUGAUUGGCAGACACCCAGAUGGCAGGUGUGAGUGUGGAGAAAGAGAGACUUGUAAAACAUGUACUUCUCCAGUGGGGGCGCUAUUCCAGGCAAAGGAGGACUCUGUACCGGAGGCUUGGAUCAGCCGGGGAAUCAUUUUUUAAUUUGCGCACCGUUUUAAAUCUGGAUUCAGUGGAUAAAACAAAGGAAUUGAUGGACUACAUAUUACAGUGUGCCUUGCUCUACACCACCGCCGGGGGCCAGAGGCGUCUGCGCGUCCACAACCUCAGUCUGAACUGCAGCUCCCAGCUGAUGGAGCUGUUCAAGAGCUGCGAGACGGACUCGCUCAUCAACUUCUUCUCCAAAACAGGUGACCAUCCAACUCUCUCUGUUCGUUCCCGACCCCUCUCCUCACCCUAGGACCAGGCGGCUGAGUGCAGCAGGAAGCUCUUCAUCUUCCACGCCUCCAUCCCGACCGCUGAGGCUCCUGGGAAGUUGAAGAACCGAGACGAUAAGAAGCUGGUCAGCACGGACAAGGAGAAGCCUAUCAAGGAAUGCUGAUCUUUCAGCUGUCCAAGGACUGUGUAGCUCAGGGCUUCCGCGUGGACCUCUUCCUGUUCCCCAGCCAGUACCUGGACAUCGCCACCAUGGGGGAUGUGCCCGCGCACACCGGGGGCGCCGUCUACAAGUACAGCAACUUCCAGGAGUGUGUGUUUGGGUGGGUUGGUGGGUCAGUUGUGUGUGCGUGUGUGUGUCUGUGUUUGUGUGUGUGGGGGUGUGAGUGUUAUAUUGCUUGUGUGUUUGUUGCCGUGUUGAUGGGUUGAGUGUGAGUGUGUGUGUGUGUGUGUCUGUGCGUGUGUGUCUGUGCGUUUAGAACACAUUACAAUCUAUUUAAACAUGGAUGUUUUUGUGGCCCGAAAUGGGAAAACAAUCUAUUAAUGAAACUCUGGAUACUUUCUAGUUAGGCUAUUGUCUCUGGCUACAGGCCAGGCAUGUGCACUUGAAGCAGACUUUAGAUCAGAUGUAAAAAAACAACGCUUAGCUUUGCUUUAUUAUUAUAUUUACUCAGUAGUUGGCCUCAAGUGAUAAAGAAAGAGUAGCAAUUAAUUAGGAUUCAAAAGACUGUUUAUCACACUUUGUUCAAUUUACAAUUGAUUUGAAAAUAAAACCAACACACCCACAAACUCAAAAUAAAAAGUAUGAUAUCACGUUUGCUGUAUUGUCGCAGUAAUUUACACACAAUACAUGCAUACACACAAAUAUGCACAUAGAGAAUCCCAAUGCAUUGCACACAAAGCCAAAUGAAAAUGUGUACCUUUUUCAAUAGAGAGAACAACACUAUAAAUUAGCUUCUUUCAAUGUUAUGAAUUUUGAGAGGCAGACGAAUUGUUGUAUGUUUUUGUAAACGCAUCUGAAAGGCCUUUGCCCCCACACCUUUUGUGAUUUCUUUUUUUGUAUUGGAGGAAAAUAAACAAUGUUUCCGCGGUCUUGCUGUGGUUCUUCAGUCCUCCUCAGCCAAUGAUCUGACGCACGUACACAGUUCAACCCUUGUAUUUGGAGCAGCCGUUUGUGAUCAGUUGUGACCUGAGCCUUUUUAUCCGCCCUUCAUUUGACUGAAGUCGAUUUCACCCCGAUAUUGAAGUCCUUCAAUAGCUUGGCACCCAUUAUGGCACUGGUCAAAGGUCAGCCCGGAGAGUCAAACACACUGGGUGACUCUGGGAGGAGCUGAGCAUGCUGGGAAAUGGAGUACAGAGAAGCGUAUCUCUGAAACCAUAGAGAAGUGGUGAGAAAUGUAUAAUCCUUUAUAAAUGAUUAUUGAGAUGAUUCAUACUAUUAUUUAUAAGGUUUGUUAAUGAUUUACAAUUUAAUACGUUAGUUCUUUAUGAACACCGAAUAUUGCUGCAGUUCAUGUUUUGUUCAGCUUGCUAGAAAGCAAUUGUUAAAGGGUUGAUAUUACCACCGUGCGUCAGUGUGAUUAGCCAUGACGAGGCUAAGCACACACACCUGGUGACAUAAUAUCACCACUUCAAUUCAAAGUCUUAUUGGUCACAUGUUUGCAAAAAUAACAUUUUACACACAGUAAAAUUAAAAAGGAGUCAUCACUCUGUCAUUCACUCUAUGUAUUUUUAUGUGAGCUCAUCUAAAGUAGGGACAAUCUAUGCCUAACUAAGAAUUUAAAGAUCACAUUUAAAGCUGGAAAAACCUGAAGUACCAUUGCAACAGUACCGAUACUCAUAAUAAUAAUAAAAAUUUUAUUACAUUUAUUUCACUGACGCUUUUAUCAAAAGCAAUGUCAUAAGUUCAUAAACUCAUUCAACAUGAAGAUAUGACCCAACAAGUGCAAGAAUCACGCAAGUACAAACAUUUAAUCAGUAAGCAGAGUUCUGAAUUAAUCAAACCAGUAAAUUCAGUUAUUUAAAUGUUUUCUAUUAAAAAAAAUAUUUUAGGGUAGCACAUGUUUAGUUUGUGUCAUUUCGUUAGUUGGACAGUAGCCUAUCAGGAACUUAUCAGGAAAGGUGUGGUAUAAUGUCAUAUUCUGGUCAAUAUUUCGAUUUUAUUGAUCAUUAUUUAGCCUUGUGAAAUUAAGUCUUGUUCCUUUUUUCUUACAAGUUUUCUAAUAAUACGAGUCAAGAGAUGUUCCUAUUAUAGGAGAAAGCCACUAAUUGCCUAGCUCCUUGAGUUUGUUAAUCUGCGUCACAAUCACACACAGCUGCUCAGUUGGUAAAGCUGUUGGUGUUCUUUGGGUUGGUAUAAGGAUUAUAAUUUAUAUUACUUUGUUGUAUACAAAAUAUAUCAGGUUUCAGAAGAGAGCGUGGUUGAAGAGACUUGAACCCAUGUCUCCAGAAUGAGGGUGACCUGCUCUAACAACUACACCACUGAGACACUUUUCAUUAAGUGGUUGGAGGUUAUAAUUGACAUUCAAUUUCACGCGACGUGAAUCGUUAAGUCAAUUAUGAACUCUGAUUAAGUCUGAACCAGUUGCUCAGUGGGGCAGUGGAUAGAGCUGUAUGUGUUCUGUUCUUGAGUCGUGAAUAUGACCUGGGUUCAAAUCCUGUCAGGAACACUCACCUUGGAUUGGAGUCUUUUUCCAACAAUGUCAUGUGUAUUGUAGGGUCAACAAUGAACUUUCUCCCUUUCUAAGUCGGUGUCUCUGUGGCGCAGGUGAUAGAGCUGUUGAGGAUCUGUUCUGGAGACACCGGUUCGAUUCCUGCAAUUGGGGGUUUUGUGAGAAUCACUCUCUGGUGAUUGGAUGCGUGUGAAUGACUGUCUCUGUGAAUGGAUGUGUCUGUGAAUCAGUUAAUUCACAGCCAUCCAAUCACACUGACAGUCAUUGGGAAUGAAUGGGUGAGUGGGAAUGACUGUCUGGGAGAGUGGAUGACUGUGAUUGAGUGCACUCAUUCACAGCCAUCCAUUCCCACAGACAGUCAUUCGAAAUGAAUGUGUGAGUGAAUGGACCCAAUCAGCAGAGAGUCGUUCCCAUAAGACCCCCCCCGUAGGAGUCAGACCGAUGACUCCAGAACAGAUCCUCAACAGCUCAAACACCGAGAGGAGGGGACGUUUUGAUAAACGUUGCUCUGAUAGUUUAC